rnacentral:lncRNA from 1 species
GAUAGAUAAACUUCAGCUAAAAGUGAAAAGUUACAAACACCAAGUAGAGGCCGUGGAAGCACAAGCCAAUCAAUAUCUGUACCAGUUUAAGACCCAGCAGCAUGAAUUGGAUGAUGCGAAGGAGAGAGCAAAAGUGGCCGAAUCCCAGAUCAACAAACUUAAGGCUAAAGCGAGAGAGAUUGGAAAAAAGGUUUAUGAAGAAGAAUAAACACUCCCUAUUCCAGAAGAACCGGAGACCAGAUGAUUCCAAAAUACCACCAGCUACAUGGCUACCAAUCAGAGCUGAACUUGAAACAAAUGAGCAUUUGGGUAAAGAACAUUGAAAAUUAAAUACCCAAGACCAUCGCUUUCAUAUAAUUUUAAUCACGCUGUUACAUCAUCACUUCCUCUAGCAUGAAACAUCUUUCUUUAAAACCUAAAUUUAAAUAAAAAUAAACUAUCAUACUAUCUUGGACCCUGC